GUCUAUUUGAAGAUAUAAAAAGUUUAACCUGCCCACUGAUAACUUAAAAUUGAAUGGCCGCGGUAUCUUGACCGUGCAAAGGUAGCAUAAUCGUUAGUUUUUUAAUUGGAAUCUUGUAUGAAUGGUUGGACAAAAGAAAGUCUGUCUUUGUAUCAUUAAUCGAAUUUAACUUUUAAGUGAAAAGGCUUAAAUAAAUUAAAGGGACGAUAAGACCCUAUAAAGCUUAAUAUUAAAAUUUUAUUUAGUUGAAUUUUUUGUUAUAAAAACUUAGUAAUUGAGUUUAUUUUAUUGGGGCGAUAAGAGUAAAAUGAUUAUUAACUGCUUAACUUUAAAUACAUUUAUAGAUGAUUAAAUUUUUAGAUGAUCCUAGUUAGAGAUUAAAAGUUUAAGUUACUUUAGGGAUAACAGCGUUAUUUUUCUUAAGAGUACUUAUCGAAAGAAAAGUUUGCGACCUCGAUGUUGAAUUAAAAUAUCUUUAUAAUUGCAGCAGUUAUAAAAGUAGGUCUGUUCGACCUUUAAAAUUUUACAUGAUUUGAGUUCAAACCGGCGUGAG
rnacentral:rRNA from 1 species